CUUGACACUGAACAUUGAGCCUUGAUGUGUAGGAUAGGUGGGAGGCUUUGAAGCGUGGACGCCAGUCUGCGUGGAGCCGGCCUUGAAAUACCACCCUUUAAUGUUUGAUGUUCUAACGUGGACCCGUAAUCCGGGUUGCGGACAGUGUCUGGUGGGUAGUUUGACUGGGGCGGUCUCCUCCUAAAGAGUAACGGAGGAGCACGAAGG
rnacentral:rRNA from 1 species